ACAUUGGUCAUUCAGUGGUAGAAUUUUCACCUGCAAUGCCAGAGACCCUGGUUCAUUCCUGGCCAGUGCA
rnacentral:tRNA from 1 species